rnacentral:tRNA from 1 species
UAGCUCAGUUGGGAGAGCGCAUGCUUUGCAAGCAUGAGGUCAUCGGUUCGAUCCCGUU